UACGAAGGGGGCUAGCGUUGCUCGGAAUUACUGGGCGUAAAGCGCACGUAGGCGGCUUUCUAAGUCGGGGGUGAAAUCCUGGAGCUCAACUCCAGAACUGCCUUCGAUACUGGAGAGCUUGAGUCCGGGAGAGGUGAGUGGAACUGCGAGUGUAGAGGUGAAAUUCGUAGAUAUUCGCAAGAACACCAGUGGCGAAGGCGGCUCAC
rnacentral:rRNA from 1 species